UCCUUUACCGAAGCUAUGACGUUGCCUGCGUUCGCAAUGGCCGCAAUUUCAUCUUUCCUGUUAAAAGUAUUAAAUAUGAAAAAUUGGAUUUAUUAAUUAUACGUUGAAAAUGUUUCUGUUGCAUGCAAAUAGUGCGCUGCGCGCUUGUUUAGCGCGAAACCGCGAAAAAUUCAAUUGACCGAAUCAGGACUUCAAAAAAUUACUUACUUGGAACAUCUUGGAUAACUUAACUAUGGACUCGGAUAUCUUGAAUAAAUUAAAAAUAAAUGAAUUAUAGGU